rnacentral:tRNA from 1 species
AGCGGUGUAGAGCAGUUUGGUAGCUCGUCAGGCUCAUGACCUGAAGGUCGUAGGUUCAAAUCCUACCGCCGCCA